CAGCCUGCGCCGGGAGGUCUGCGGCCUCGAUGAAAAAUGCAAUGUUCAGAGAGGGCCAAGCUUAACAGCAACCUAAGGCCAGAGUAGGGUCAGGGCCCCGUGGUCGACCUGCCCACCCAGAACGCCGGCCCCAGAGAACUCUCGUGUACCCAGUGGAUCGCCCGGCCCUUCUCCACUUCGCAGCCGUGACAACCUGUUACGUUCGUGGACUUCUGCCUCCCAGACUGUCGCCGCGGUUGUUCAUUCACAGCUGACGCUCUUGAGAGCCGCGCGGUGCUCUCUGAGGUUGUUUUGAAGGUGUGAGGGAGCCUCUGGCGGAGACCCUUGACCCUAGACUCAUUGUUGUCCUCUCUGAGUCACAGCAUCUGUGUGAGAUGGGAGAAAGCCGGCUCUCCCCCUCCCCCACAGGGAUUGUCACUUGGCUGUCAUGAUGAAAGGCACCUUGUGGCUCCAGACCUGUCUUCUGAGUCCUCUCUAUGGCAGCGUCUGCGGCGGAAGCAUGUUUUCCGUGCCAGACUGGGGGGAUCGAGCCAGAGCCUGCCCGAUCGUGCCUGGUGGGAGGGCACCACCGUUGCGUAGGGGAGAGAAGCCCGGUGCGCAGGUCACUUAGCCGGAGGAGAGACCCUGCUGGAAGCCGCCAGGGCUUUGGCUCCUCCGGGCAGGAUUGUAACAUGUUAUCCACAGGAAGCUGCUUGGGAUUCCAGGGAGCAGAUGAGCCAAGCUGGCUGGGCUGAGACCGCUUCUGUGGGGCUCCAGGUUCUCGGAGCCGGGAAGAAUCGGGUGGGCCGGGGCCCAGAUGUGUGAUGCAGACAUCUGGACCAGAAGUGGAUCCAGCCUGACCCUUCCUCCUGGGGCUUGGGCCCCCGCAUGAGUCCUGGAUGUCAGCUUAAGUGUCCUGCGAGAGAGGGAAGGCUCCCUCUGGACACGGGCCGCACGCUCCUGAUGUGAACUGGGGCCACGUGAACUUGACCUGGCCCCUGUGUCUAGUGUGAACCAUGGACAGGCACUGGGAGGGGAGGGGCCUAUGUCAUGCUGAAUGUCUUUGGGCCCUGCCCGGGCUGAACACUUUUCAGAGCCGCUCUGCCUGGAUCGAUGUCCCCUGUUAGGUGGCCUAGGGCAUUCUCUCUCUGGCCAGGAGUGCUGGGGGCGGGGGAGAGGCAUGUUCCACGUUCACUGUUUUCUUUUAUUCUUGAAAUUGUCCUAGAAGGUGGGUGUUGUUGCCCUCUGCUCUUUGUCCUGGGGAGCAGGUGCAGGUUUUAGAGGUGACGUAACGUGUCCCCAGGCACAUGGCUGGUAAGUGGCGGAAUCUAAGCCUAAGCUCUUAGCGGAGGUGGGUCGGCCCGUCCCUCUUCUCAGGGUGCUGGUGGCCCGGUCAUCACAGGUGCGCAGGUGGACUGAGGAGAGGCCCAGGCGGAGGUAGGAGUGGUUCCCUCAGGGGGGCACAGGAGAGGGACACCCACGGCUGAUCAGCGGGAUAGUACGGGGCCUCUGAGAGGAGCCGAGGCGGCGCAGGACUUGCCUGGGCCAAGGGGGAGAGGCUGGCCCGGCUGGAAGGGUCGUGGAGGCUGUGGCAGUGGUGUGGGCCCUUGGCCCGGCCUCAGGGAGUUUUGUGGCUGUUGACUUGGGCGGCCUGCUCUGCGCCUGUCGCACGGCCGCUGCAGCAAGGCCUAAGGAAGUAGGUCCUGCGAGCGCCCCAAUUUGCAGGUGAGAAAACCAAGCUUCAUUCAGGAAGCAAGGCGACUGACCCAAGGUCAUGUAGCUGGGAGGUGGCGGAACUGGGAUUUGUGGUCCCAGCUGAGGCCCGCCAGAUGCCGACAGCCGUCCUGCAGGGAGUUCAUGGAAUGAACCAGAAGGAAUGAAGGGGGGAACCAGCCUUCCAGUGAGCCUCCCGGCCGGACCCUUUCCCAUUUGGCCAGGAACUACAGGACAAGCGACAGCUUCACGGGGACAGCAUGAGGAGCAAGCGAGACACGGCAGGUCCAGGCCCUGCACAGAGCCGGACCCCGGCCUUGCUGCUGCUGUUUCUGUUGUAAAGGACACAAAGCGCCUGGCCCGGGCCGGACGUGGUAUUGGGGUUGUGCUCGGGCGGUCCCUGAGGACAACCCGGGGCUCCCUGGGGCCCCUCGCCUCCAGCCCAGUGAGGCAGGCCUGCGCCGUGGGGGGAAGUGUAACCGUUUGGGUGGUGAGCGGUGCCUCUUUCAGUUCCUGGGCCUAUUUUUAAGGCCUGUGGGUUCCGGCCUCUGUCCGUUUCUGGGGCCAGAGGGACCUGCGAGGGUGCCGUGCGGCAUCUUGGGAAUGAGGACUCUGGACGUCACACUUCAAGGAGACCGAGGAACGGGGGCCCCUGGGGGGCUCAGCCCGUGGAGCGUCCGACUUUGGCUCUGGUCAUGAUCU